GUCCAGGUAUGCAUCUGAUCAUAGAUUCAAAAAGUGGCCCAAGAUCUUCAGCUAAAUCAUCAGGAGAUAACCCUGCCUUUCCUUUUAUACCACUUGCAUAUAUUGCUUGGAAAUCACACUGUUCAUCUGUAGCAUUUAGCUCAAUAAAUAGUUCAAAGGUGGAAUUGAUGACAUAAUCUGGACGUGCAGAAGGUCUAUCAAUCUUAUUG
rnacentral:misc_RNA from 1 species